rnacentral:rRNA from 1 species
CCCUUAGAUGUCCUGGGCCGCACGCGUGCUACACUGAUGCAUACAGCGAGUACUCCCAGCUCCGAGAGGCUGCUGGUAAUCAGCAAUAUGCAUCGUGAUGGGGAUAGAUCUUUGGAAUUAUAGAUCUUGAACGAGGAAUUCCUAGUAAUCGCAGUUCAUCACCCUGCGUUGACUAAGUCCCUGCCCUUUGUACACACCGCCCGUCGCUCCUACCGAUUUCGAGUGAUCCGGUGAAUCAUUCGGACCGCGGCCCCUAGGCAUGCGGAAAGUCUAGUAAACCAUAUCACUUAGAGGAAGGAGAAGUCGUAACA